GGAUUGGAAAUGCUGUUGACCCAGUUUGGACCCAUGGGACUUAAUCAGGAAUACGUAGGUUUAGCAACAUUUGGGCAUGAAACGAAACAUCAACUGCUAGCAACUGCAAAUUAUGCAACCGUUCGAGACAAAAUAGAGAAUUUUCAAUUGGGCGGACCAAGUCCUUUAUUCGCAGGCCUUUGGUUUAGCUUAGCGGGUGCGACAUCUUGCAGAGCAACUGCAACUACAGCAGAUAGUAUCAUACUUGGUCCGCGACUUAUUGUAAUCACCGACGGCAAGCCAACGGAAACUAAUCUGCGAGGUGGUCCCGAUACCCAGACAACAAAG